rnacentral:rRNA from 1 species
UGGGACAAGCCCUGGAAACGGGGUCUAAUACCGGAUAAUACUCCUGCCUGCAUGGGCGGGGGUUAAAAGCUCCGGCGGUGAAGGAUGAGCCCGCGGCCUAUCAGCUUGUUGGUGGGGUAAUGGCCUACCAAGGCGACGACGGGUAGCCGGCCUGAGAGGGCGACCGGCCACACUGGGACUGAGACACGGCCCAGACUCCUACGGGAGGCAGCAGUGGGGAAUAUUGCACAAUGGGCGAAAGCCUGAUGCAGCGACGCCGCGUGAGGGAUGACGGCCUUCGGGUUGUAAACCUCUUUCAGCAGGGAAGAAGCGAAAGUGACGGUACCUGCAGAAGAAGCGCCGGCUAACUACGUGCCAGCAGCCGCGGUAAUACGUAGGGCGCAAGCGUUGUCCGGAAUUAUUGGGCGUAAAGAGCUCGUAGGCGGCUUGUCACGUCGGGUGUGAAAGCCCGGGGCUUAACCCCGGGUCUGCAUCCGAUACGGGCAGGCUAGAGUGUGGUAGGGGAGAUCGGAAUUCCUGGUGUAGCGGUGAAAUGCGCAGAUAUCAGGAGGAACACCGGUGGCGAAGGCGGAUCUCUGGGCCAU